AGCGAACGCUGGCGGCAGGCUUAACACAUGCAAGUCGAACGGGCGUAGCAAUACGUCAGUGGCAGACGGGUGAGUAACACGUGGGAACGUACCCUUUGGUUCGGAACAACACAGGGAAACUUGUGCUAAUACCGGAUAAGCCCUUACGGGGAAAGAUUUAUCGCCGAAGGAUCGGCCCGCGUCUGAUUAGCUUGUUGGUGAGGUAAUGGCUCACCAAGGCGACGAUCAGUAGCUGGUCUGAGAGGAUGAUCAGCCACACUGGGACUGAGACACGGCCCAGACUCCUACGGGAGGCAGCAGUGGGGAAUAUUGGACAAUGGGCGCAAGCCUGAUCCAGCCAUGCCGCGUGAGUGAUGAAGGCCCUAGGGUUGUAAAGCUCUUUUGGCGGGGAAGAUAAUGACGGUACCCGCAGAAUAAGCCCCGGCUAACUUCGUGCCAGCAGCCGCGGUAAU
rnacentral:rRNA from 1 species